UCUCUGAAACUGGGUUUCAAUGAAGGCUUGAUCAUGAACAAGUAGCCCUAAUUUUAGAUUAUAUGUUAUAAUUCAAUGCUGUGUUGAGAGUUGUUGGUUGCACAGAUGAGCUUGCAUGCAGAUGAGUCAAUUCUCCCACCACUCUUGGUUUGUUUUGUCUCUUCCAUGAUGUUGAGUUUGGGAUCGGUGGCAGGAGGAGGAGGUCGAUGCACAUGAGGCUUGGUUGGGAUAACUUGUUUCUGCAAGUGGUUGUUUUUAUGUUUUGAUUGCACACAAUAGUUUUGUUUUGAAUGUCCAUCAUCUCCUUUCAUGCUCCUCUUAGUCGUGCUCGUUGUACUUAUUUUUUCUGAUCCUGGAGCUCACAUAUUUGUCGAGAUUUGUAGGUAUAGCCUUCAUGAAUAUGGACUUUGCCAUCCUGUUGCCCCAGCAAGGAUUGUGGGCGUCACUGCCUGAUUUUUAGCUAGGAUGUCGAAAUCGAUGCAGUGCAUGCAUCGUUCAAAUUCACUAUGCUCUUCACUUCUCGAUUUUAUGAUCCUCGUGAGCAUGUUGUGGCUUUGAACUAGACAGAAAUUAGGGUUACGGGAUCAAUUGCUGCAUGGAAGUUAAAUGCAUGCUGUAAGAUGUGAGUGCGGACACGGUCGGUGGCCGUCACAAUCGCCAAUUUGAAGUGCCUGAGUGAAGGUCAAUGCAGAGCUGUUGGGUUUAACUUCCCAGACGCGGACGAUUACAAUGGGGAAAUUCAAUGUUCUCGUUGUGUGAUUCACAAAACCAGGUACCUCUCAAACAUCAAAUGGUCCAAAUUGGUGGACACCGUAACCCUUUCCAACGAUGGAGUAAUCACUGAGGAAGGCAUGAUGCUCAUCUACGGGACGCAGUAUAAUUUUUCACGUCAAGGAGAGGAACUUUGUUGGCGAUGAGACCUGUUUCGAGAGACUACGUGAAGCAGAAACAACUCUUGGGAAGCUACACGACCUUUCUUUCAAUCAAACAACACCGUUUUCAGUCAAUCUGGAGAUCGCUAGGGCUCAUGUUUUUCCCCAUCAAUCAGCAUGGAGGGCAAAGGGAGCAUACAAUCUACAUCACUACCCACCUGAGGUGGUGGGAGCAUUGGCAUGGGAUACAGCAAACAUCACAGAGGAAGCCAGAGUUUCUACAACUAGAAUGACAAGGGCAUAUAGACAAGGUGUUGAAGAUAAGGGCUGCAUCACAGGCUUAUGCCACUGAGAUUGCAUUCUCAAACAUUACAUUCUGAAAGCAUGAAAUGCUGGUGAAGGUGAGAGAAGCUAAUAAUGCAAUAGAUGCAAUGACAGCCAUGCCAAGUAGCUGAAGCUGGAAGCACCCCAGCAGUAGCAUCAGCUCCAUAGCUGCUGCUGCAGCAGCAACAGCAUCAGGUAAGGAGCUAGUCUUCACCUUAUCAAGCUCACAUCAAAUCCUGCAUGUUUUGUGUGCAGUUUUUUCACAAUAUGAUAGUGUAGGCAUGUUGACUUGGGACCCAGUUUUAGGCUUGCAGCAUGUUGUGUUUUAAGGCUGCCAAAGGUUUGAGGCCUUUGUUUUGUGAAUCAUGGUUCAUGUUGGCUUGGCUUCCACAUCAUCCCACAGUAUCUUGUGGACACAGGAUAUCCUUGCAAAUUAUUUACACUUGACUCUAUUUUGAACUAUUGUUGCAAGUGUGUCUCUUCUCAGUAGCAUCACUAUUGGAGCAAAUGAGUUGCUACACAUGAGGAAGUGUUCCAUUCAAGGGUCCUUUCUAUUCACGAAAUAUUACAUGCAAAACAAAACUUUAAAAUAAAAAAUAAAAAUGGACAAGAAGAACAAAAAAAAGAUGAAUCGUUGAGUAGAGCUAUUUGUAGUAUAAUAGCAUGGCACGAGGUUAAGAGGAAUUCAAGAUUGCAAAUGAUGAUUAAGCCAAGGUCUUUAAACCUUUUGACAAA